AUUGAACGCUGGCGGCAUGCUUUACACAUGCAAGUCGAACGGCAGCGCGGGCUUCGGCCUGGCUGCGCGUGGCGCACGGGUGAGUAAUGCAUCGGAACGUGCCCAGCAGUGGGGGAUAGCCCGGCGAAAGCCGGAUUAAUACCGCAUACGACCUGCGGGUGAAAGCGGGGGACCGAAAGGCCUCGCGCUCUUGGAGCGGCCGAUGUCGGAUUUGCUAGUUGGUGGGGUAAAGGCUUACCAAGGCGACGAUCCGUAGCUGGUCUGAGAGGACGACCGGCCACACGGGGACUGAGACACGGCCCAGACUCCUACGGGAGGCAGCAGUGGGGAAUUUUGGACAAUGGGGGCAACCCUGGUCCAGCCAUGCCGCGUGCGAGAAGAAGGCCUUCGGGUUGUAAACCGCUUUUGUUCGGGAAGAAAUCCUCUGGGCUAAUACCCCGGGGGGAUGACGGUACCGGAAGAAUAAGCACCGGCUAACUACGUG
rnacentral:rRNA from 1 species